UGCAGGUGAUGCAGAAGAAUGUUUGCUGAGAGGUGGUGAUGCCAUUUUAAGGCACCGAGAUCGCUGAUGCA